rnacentral:rRNA from 1 species
AGUGAACGCUGGCGGUAGGCCUAACACAUGCAAGUCGAACGGCAGCACAGUAAGAGCUUGCUCUUACGGGUGGCGAGUGGCGGACGGGUGAGGAAUACAUCGGAAUCUACUUUUUCGUGGGGGAUAACGUAGGGAAACUUACGCUAAUACCGCAUACGAUCUACGGGUGAAAGCAGGGGAUCUUCGGACCUUGCGCGAUUGAAUGAGCCGAUGUCGGAUUAGCUAGUUGGCGGGGUAAAGGCCCACCAAGGCGACGAUCCGUAGCUGGUCUGAGAGGAUGAUCAGCCACACUAGAGCUGAGACACGGUCCAGACUCCUACGGUAGGCAGCAGUGGGGAAUAUUGGACAAUGGGCGCAAGCCUGGUCCAGCCAUACCGCGUGGGUGAAGAAGGCCUUCGGGUUGUAAAGCCCUUUUGUUGGGAAAGAAAAGCAGCAGGUUAAUACCCCGCUGUUCUGACGGUACCCAAAGAAUAAGCACCGGCUAACUUCGUG